AUGGAAUCCAGGGUGUCCAGGGUCACAGCUUUCUCCAGGGGAAAGAAAUGCCUUCAAGGAGCCAGCUGGGAAGAACAAGGAAAGAUCACAAGUCAUGAGCACUGGGUGUUAUACUAUAUGUUGGCAAAUCAAACUCCAAUAAAAAAUAUACGAAGAAGAAGAAGGAGAAGGAGAAGGAGGAGGAGGAGGAGGAGGAGGAGGAGGAGGAGGAGGAGGAGGAGGAGAAGGAGAAGGAGAAGGAGAAGGAGAAGGAGAAGGAGAAGGAGAAGGAGAAGGAGAAGGAGAAGAAGAAGAUCACAAACCCCAGGCAGCCCCAGGCUGACUGCUGCGGCCCGGACCCCCCUCACCCAUCGCAAAAGCAGAUCGACAUUGACAGCAGACAGCCAGGUCUCCGAGAUGGCAUCAAGCAUGCCAGUGAAGAUGAAACUCAGGAUGACAACACAAGGGAGCUGCCAAGCUGGAUGCCGAUGUGGAAUUCCGCCCCUCAGGGCACUGUUGGAGCAUUUCAAAGAGGUUACUUGCUACUGGACUGGCACCUGCCCCUCUGUUUGGUUAGAGCGGGACAGAGAUUUGACUGAACCUGAGGCAGGUAGGAUCUUACACCCAGCUACCUUGGGAGUCAUGAGACCCAUGGGUCUCAGGAGUUCCUGCAUUAAGCCUUUCUUCCUGGAGAAGCUAAGUGACAGAGGAAGAAAGAAAAGAGCUAUCUUCCUGGCACUGCUGUGAGUGACUACUGGCAGCUCUUCCAGGAGCAGUCCUUGAAACCACUGGUCAGGUGGAUGAUGAUCAGGAUGGGAUCAGACUGAGCCACCAACGACAGUCUCUGAAUGAUGAAUGACCACUGGGAAGGGUGUCAUUUGGCUUCAUUGGAACUUUCUGGGCUUAUAUGAGGCUGUUUGGCUAAUGUUCGUUUGUUAAAACAUGAUUUAUCCUUCUUCCUGCUUCUCAAGCACUCAAGUGUUUCAAUAGCAGCUUAGCCUUUGAACUUAUAGUUUCCUUGCACCUGCAUGGAUCAUGCUCAUCAUAGGAAGCAGAACUAUUACAAGCUAAGAAGACUCUGUUCUCCCAGGCCUCUGCAGGGGCCUUUCCUAGUCCGGUAGGAGGAUAGAGAAGAAUUGGCUUCAAUUUCCAGAUUAGUUAAACUGGAACAGUAGUCCAGCGGCAAGUUUCACUGGAACCCCAAUCUGGAGCCUUCUCUUUUACAACCUCACCUCUGAGGAGUGGCUCUGCAGAGUCAAGAACAAGGCAAAACUCCUGAGAGCCUCUGAGUCUCUGAGUGGGGAGGGCUUUUUUCCAAGAUGGUAAGGAGGUGGUGUGCCAGUAGGUCUGUUCGACAAUGAGCCUGAGGCAAUAAGCAGUGUGGCAGCUCAACUUUUAUCUUUCUCAUUGGGAUGGUAAGUAGUGAGUGAUGUCAGGGCCAGGAGAGGCAGUGAAGGUGGAGAAAAUUGCAGCGUGCCCACCACCAUACACUCCUGCUCAGGGAGGACUGUGAGCAUCAAUACAAAUGGCUUCCAGAAGCUGAAAGCUUAUCAGUGGAAAAGUGCUGGGGACUCUUGAAUUUAGGAGAAAAUAUAGACCUGCUUUUGAAUCCCAGCUCUGCAAGUUGCUAGCUAAGUAGCAUGAGUUAAUUCUCUUAAUCUCUUUUAAGUUUCAGUUUAUUUUUUGUAAAAGUAAGAUAAUAUUUUCACAAGUUGUUUACCAGUAAAAUAAAGUAAUGUUGAAGAAAAGCCCA
rnacentral:lncRNA from 12 species